rnacentral:rRNA from 1 species
CCAAUAGCGUAUAUUAAAGUUGUUGCAGUUAAAAAGCUCGUAGUUGAAUUUCGGGAUUAGUACGUUGGUCGUGCCUUAGGUACGUACUGGUGUUACUGGUUCCUACCUUCUGACGAACCAUCAUGUCAUUAAUUUGGUGUGGCGGGGAAUUAGGACUGUUACUUUGAAAAAAUUAGAGUGUUUAAAGCAGGCUCGCGCUUGAAUACAUUAGCAAGGAAUAAUGAAAUAGGACGUUGACCCUAUUUUGUUGGUUUCUAGGAUUGACGUAAUGAUUAAUAGGGAUAGUUGGGGGCAUUAGUAUUCAAUUGUCAGAGGUGAAAUUCUUGGAUUUAUUGAAGACUAACUACUGCGAAAGCAUUUGCCAAGGAUGUUUUCAUUAAUCAAGAACGAAAGUUAGGGGAUCGAAGACGAUCAGAUACCGUCGUAGUCUUAACCAUAAACUAUGCCGACUAGGGAUCGGAUGAUGUUAAUUUUUUAAUGACUCAUUCGGCGCCUUACG